UCGAACGUUGUUGUCCGUAGAAUAGACAACAACGAGCGAUGUCAAGGUGCAGAACAAUCGAACACACACCUGCCACUCACGGCUGGGAGCCAGUGGCGGCUCUUUGGCUGUUGGUGCCUCCAGGAGUGGUUGUGGUGCCGUGGUGGAUGCUGUUGGACAUACCGUGGUGUUUGCAGGAUGAGGAUGCCUUUUUCCAUGGCUUUUCCCAGUGGUUGGUCUGGAACCUGGGUA